rnacentral:rRNA from 1 species
GACGAACGCUGGCGGCGUGCCUAAUACAUGCAAGUAGAACGCUGAAGGAGGAGCUUGCUUCUCUGGAUGAGUUGCGAACGGGUGAGUAACGCGUAGGUAACCUGCCUGGUAGCGGGGGAUAACUAUUGGAAACGAUAGCUAAUACCGCAUAAUAGCAGUUGUUGCAUGAUAACUGUUUGAAAGGUGCAAUUGCACCACUACCAGAUGGACCUGCGUUGUAUUAGCUAGUUGGUGGAGUAACGGCUCACCAAGGCGACGAUACAUAGCCGACCUGAGAGGGUGAUCGGCCACACUGGGACUGAGACACGGCCCAGACUCCUACGGGAGGCAGCAGUAGGGAAUCUUCGGCAAUGGACGGAAGUCUGACCGAGCAACGCCGCGUGAGUGAAGAAGGUUUUCGGAUCGUAAAGCUCUGUUGUAAGAGAAGAACGAGUGUGAGAGUGGAAAGUUCACACUGUGACGGUAUCUUACCAGAAAGGGACGGCUAACUACGUG